GCCCAGACUCCUACGGGAGGCAGCAGUGGGGAAUAUUGCGCAAUGGGCGAAAGCCUGACGCAGCGACGCCGCGUGAGGGAUGACGGCCUUCGGGUUGUAAACCUCUUUCAGCAGGGACGAAGCUCACGUGACGGUACCUGCAGAAGAAGCGCCGGCUAACUACG
rnacentral:rRNA from 1 species